rnacentral:rRNA from 1 species
UACGUAGGGUCCGAGCGUUGUCCGGAAUUACUGGGCGUAAAGAGCUCGUAGGUGGUUUGUCGCGUUGUUCGUGAAAACUCACAGCUCAACUGUGGGCGUGCGGGCGAUACGGGCAGACUUGAGUACUGCAGGGGAGACUGGAAUUCCUGGUGUAGCGGUGGAAUGCGCAGAUAUCAGGAGGAACACCGGUGGCGAAGGCGGGUCUCUGGGCAGUAAACUGACGCUGGAGGAAGCGAAAA